GACGAACGCUGGCGGCGUGCUUAACACAUGCAAGUCGAACGGAAAGGCCCUGCUUUUGUGGGGUGCUCGAGUGGCGAACGGGUGAGUAACACGUGAGUAACCUGCCCUUGACUUUGGGAUAACUUCAGGAAACUGGGGCUAAUACCGGAUAGGAGCUCCUGCUGCAUGGUGGGGGUUGGAAAGUUUCGGCGGUUGGGGAUGGACUCGCGGCUUAUCAGCUUGUUGGUGGGGUAGUGGCUUACCAAGGCUCUGACGGGUAGCCGGCCUGAGAGGGUGACCGGGCACAUUGGGACUGAGAUACGGCCCAGACUCCUACGGGAGGCAGCAGUGGGGAAUAUUGCACAAUGGGCGGAAGCCUGAUGCAGCAACGCCGCGUGCGGGAUGACGGCCUUCGGGUUGUAAACCGCUUUCGCCUGUGACGAAGCGUGAGUGACGGUAAUGGGUAAAGAAGCACCGGCUAACUACGUG
rnacentral:rRNA from 1 species